GGAGUUAGCCGGUGCUUCUUCUGUGAGUGAUGUCCUUCCUGCCGGCUAUUAACCCGCAGGCCUUCUUCCUCACUGAAAGUGCUUUACAACCCGAAGGCCUUCUUCACACACGCGGCAUGGCUGGAUCAGGGUUGCCCCCAUUGUCCAAUAUUCCCCACUGCUGCCUCCCGUAGGAGUCUGGGCCGUGUCUCAGUCCCAGUGUGGCUGAUCAUCCUCUCAGACCAGCUACGGAUCGUCGCCUUGGUGAGCCGUUACCUCACCAACCAGCUAAUCCGACAUAGGCUCAUCCGAUAGCGCGAGGCCCGAAGGUCCCCCGCUUUCCCCCGUAGGGCGUAUGCGGUAUUAGCCUGGGUUUCCCCAGGUUAUCCCCCACUACCGGGCAGAUUCCUAUGCAUUACUCACCCGUCCGCCGCUCGCCACCAGGGAGCAAGCUCCCCGUGCUGCCGCUCGACUUGCAUGUGUUAGGCCUGCCGCCAGCGUUCAAUCUGACCAGAUCAAACUCUGA
rnacentral:rRNA from 1 species